UACGUAAGUGGCGAGCGUUAUCCGGAAUUACUGGGUGUAAAGGGUGUGUAGGCGGCCUUUUAAGUCCUGUGUUAAAUCCCACGGCUUAACUGUGGGCUUGCGCGGGAAACUGGAAGGCUUGAGUAGAGGAGAGGUAACUGGAAUUCCUAGUGUAGCGGUGAAAUGUGUAGAUAUUAGGAAGAACACCAGUGGCGAAGGCGGGUUACUGGCCUCUUACUGACGCUGAGACACGAAAGCCGGGGGAGCAAAC
rnacentral:rRNA from 1 species